CCGAAUACAUUCAGCUUAGAAUGAAGCCUGAACUCAUUGGCAAAACUUUGGUCAACUUCUUGUCAGAAACCUUAAAAUCUCUCAAAGCAGGCAGUCGAUCGAUACUUUCCAAUAAUCUCCGAUCAACUGGCUCACUGAACUUUUAUGGAAUGUCACCGGUCAAAUUAUUCUGGGAAAGAUCAACUUCAGCCAAAUUCAAAGCAUCAAUGACUUUGGGUAUUUCACUUAAAAGAUGAUUUUUGAAGAGAUACACAAUGGUUAGAGUCUUGAAGGUAAACAUAUCACUUGGAAUUGGACCUUCCAAAUUGUUACUUGACAAAUCCAAAUGCUCCAAACUCAAAAGAUUAUUGAAACUUUGCGGGCUUUACCGAUCAAAUUGAUUUCCGUAAUUCAUAAAUACACCAAUUUCUUUAAGAAAUUAAAUUCCCAAGGCAUUUCAUGUCGAAAAAGCCACUAUAAGCCAUAACCAGAGCUAGAAGAUUGGACUAAAUUUUAUAUAUAAUUUUUAUGUCCUUUUAUAAUAAAUUAUAUAUUUUUCAAGUUUUUAAAUUUUGAAUUUUUUUGAAAUAUUUGAAUUUGGACUAAACUGAUAAAAUAUGCUAAUAUUGAUAGUUAAAUUUAUUAAAAAAAUUUAGAAUUAAGACUAACUUGAUAGAAUAUGUAAACUGUUAAGGGUUAAAUUUAUUGACUUAUACCAAUCAAAAGUCUGCAAACCUCAACAUUUUGUUCAACGACCAAGGCAUUUUAAUGAUGAAGUGAGUUAGAGUGAGUUUGGAUGUGUGGUGCGUUUACCUGCGAUUAGUGUAAAAACAGCGGUGGCGGUGAGAUUAGAUACUGUAGCGUGAGACAAAAAGUAAGCUAAACGCACCGCACCCAAUCGCCCAUCCAAACCCACCCUUAAAAUGACAAUUAGUCUAAUGAAAGUGGCCAAAUUAACAAAAAAAGAAAAGAAAAGAAAAGAUGACCAAAAUAGGAAUGCAUUAAAACUUGUGUGACUAGCUAAGUAGUUUACCCUUUAAUUCUUUUAGAAAUAUUAUUAAGAAUUUUUUUUAUAAAUGUCAAAUUGAUAUUUUGGUUAUAGUUCAAGGGUUAAGUUGAACCCUUUAAAUUAACGCGUCACACCACCCUUUUAACAGUAAUUAAUGUAUAAGCGACAAAAAUAUAACAUUUUGAUAAUUUUAAUGACAAUUAUAUAACUUUUGAAAGUUGAAUAACUAAAAUAUAAUUUAAAUCAAAAUUUUGGAGUAAUAACAAUAAUCGAAAAAAAAUGAAGAAGGAAAGUUUUCAAAUUAUUAGUAUUUUCAUUUAGCUUUCAAAUCAAGCAUGGAAAUAAAUUAAAUUGGAUCAAGCUUUGGCAGUGACCGACGCGUAAGCAGAUUAGGGUGGAGCCGCUGUUGUCUGCUACAGAGCUUUGAUAACCAUUCCCCCCACUACUUUUUGAACAAAAGAAAUUCCGUUCAUACAUGAUUUUCGUAUAAAUUGACAAAACCCCAGAAAGGAAAGAGAUUCGAGUAUAAAAGGAACAGUUUUCGGAGCAUGUAAAGGGACAAAGAAACUUAGAAACCUUGCCCUAAACCAUAAGGAUGGGGAUGGGUGGAUAUGAAAUCGUUAUCAAGAAGAGAAAAUUCUCGUUUGGAGGCUGCGAAAAAAACCUUUUCAAUGGAGUCACUGCAUGUGUUUGUACGAUGGAGCCUUUGGGUGUUAUCAUUCAUCACGUACUUUAUCAAAAUAAUUAAUGUUACCCCCAUUAAUUGUGGACCAAAUUUCCACCCAUUCCAUGCUUUAAAUGAUGUUGAUAGAUAGUGGUCUACGUCUUUGUUUUUAUGUUCAAUACAAGGCACUUCUUUGGCUUUACUCUUAAUUUAUUAUAUAAUAAUGUCUUUUACAGACUAUGAUGAAAACCCUAGAAGAAAAUGAUAUUUAACUCCUCUUUUCUCUCUCUCUCUCUCUUAAUUUUCACCUAAAUUUGAGGUGUCAUUUUCUUUGACUAAUUAUAAGAUCCAAAAUUAAAUUAAUGAAGAACUGUCUGCCUAACAGUCUAUUUAUUAUUAAUAUGCAGCCCUUAACAUGACUUGAAGUUUCAGUAAUCCAUAUAUAUUAAUAAUCUUAUAUCAUGAUGAUACAUAUCCAUUAGGGUAGUUAAGAAUAGAAUAUAAUAUGAAUACAACCCUAUUAAUGAAUUUCAAAUUCAUUGCCUAACAAACUAUGACCAUUAAGUGUGAGGAAAAUUUAUCUGACCUCAAUAACUUGAAAGUUUCAUAGCUUGGGGUAGCCUCUCAAAUGGGAAAUUUGCCUUUUUAAAUCUUUUAAAAUUUUACUUUCAUCUUUCAAUUAUAAUAAAUUUAUAAUUUAGUACUAUGAUAAAAUUAAAUUUUAGGCUUGAGAAUACCUCUUUCUUGAAAGUGAGCAAAGGAACUGUCUGGCAGCUAAUUCCGUUGUUUUUUCGGCACCAUGCCCUUGGCUAGUUAGCUACUUAGCCGCCCUUGUUGAGUCACCUUUUUGAAUCUGGUUAAUAAGUGAACAAAAUUAAAUUUUGUACAAAUUUGAACCACACAAAAUAACUUUUCUUAAAAGGACAAAUGAAAAAGGAACUUGUUGGAGCAUGCAACAUCGCCUGAUUUUCAAGCAACCAUGAGUUCAACCAUAACGUCAAAGAUGUAUCAAUUUCUCGUCGAAUGAGGAUUAGAAAGAGUGCAAAAAUUGAAGUUCCUACUCUAAGAUAUUGAGUGGAAAGUAUUGAAGAAUCGUGUAUUGCCAUCCACACAACAGCACCUUUCUUUU
rnacentral:lncRNA from 1 species